AUAUUGCACAAUGGGGGAAACCCUGAUGCAGCGACGCCGCGUGAGUGAUGAAGUAUUUCGGUAUGUAAAGCUCUAUCAGCAGGGAAGAAAAUGACGGUACCUGACUAAGAAGCCCCGGCUAACUACGUGCCAGCAGCCGCGGUAAUACGUAGGGGGCAAGCGUUAUCCGGAUUUACUGGGUGUAAAGGGAGCGUAGACGGCUGUGCAAGUCUGGAGUGAAAGCCCGGGGCUCAACCCCGGGACUGCUUUGGAAACUGUACGGCUGGAGUGCUGGAGAGGCAAGCGGAAUUCCUAGUGUAGCGGUGAAAUGCGUAGAUAUUAGGAGGAACACCAGUGGCGAAGGCGGCUUGCUGGACAGUAACUGACGCUGAGGCACGAAGGCCAGGGGAGCGAAAGG
rnacentral:rRNA from 1 species